rfam:Arthrobotrys oligospora ATCC 24927 unplaced genomic scaffold scaffold00080, whole genome shotgun sequence.
GGUACCGUGGCCUAAUGGCAAGGCAUCGCUUUCCGGUGGCGGAGAUUGCGCGUUCGAGUCGCGUCGGUAUCG